GAUGCCAGCCAUGGCAGCAGGAGUCCCAGCAAGGGGGUAAUCUCCCUCACUGGGACUCUCAACAACUACACGACUAAAGAAACAAAGUCACACAACCAGAGUCAAGCUUUCAUCUGCAUUCUGCUCAUCUGUGCCUCCAAUGUCCCCUGGCUAAGAUCAUAGGAACAGAAAGCGACCAUGUCCAACCAGGCACGAGGUGCUAAGAAACUUUACCUUCUUCCUGAGUAACCUGAGAGAUGUUGGACUUCUAACCAAACUCUCCAGACUCCAGCUUUUACGAAGAAGCCUGUGGUGGCCACGCUGCUACCCGAGGACUCUAUGGAUUCCACCUUGUUGAAUCACAGUUCUGGCUGGCCUCACCUCUGGGGCUUUACACAGCAUAGCCUGGCUAGGGUCCAGUGUAGAUUCUGAAGCAGAGUCCAGUGGGACCCACACUUUACAAAGGAUGACCUGUGCCAUCACUUGCAUGCCCCCGAGGGCUGACCAUCAUAUUUCCAGCAUGUAGAGAGUAGCCGUAGGGAGGGACACCCAAGUCAAUUCAUCUCAUUAGAUUCUUCCCUGAACACUAGAGUUCCCAGAACUCCCUAGAGUACAGAUGACUCCAAACACAUCGUCCCACGAAAAACCAAUUUGUGGGAAUUACAUAGCCUUCACUUAAUAAAAUCUCACCUUUGCAUGCACGAUUC
rnacentral:lncRNA from 1 species